AUCGAACGCUGGCGGCAGGCCUAACACAUGCAAGUCGAACGAGUGGCGGACGGGUGUGUAAUGUCUGGGACACUGCCUGAUGGUGGGGGAUAACUAUUGGAAACGGUAGCUAAUACCGCAUACCAUCAGAUGUGCCCUGGUGGGAUUUGCUUGUUGGUGGGGUAACGGGUCAUCAAGGCGACGAUCCCUAGCUGGUCUGAGAGGAUGACCAGCCAACCUGGCACUGAGACACGGUCCAGACUCCUACGGGAGGCAGCGGUGGGGAAUAUUGCACAAUGGGCGCAAGCCUGAUGCAGCCAUGCCGCGUGUAUGAAGAGGGCCUUCGGGUUGUAAAGUACUUUCAGCGGGGAGGCGUUACCCGCAGAAGAAGCGCCGGCUAACUCCGUGCCAGCAGCCGCGGUAAUUC
rnacentral:rRNA from 1 species